rnacentral:rRNA from 1 species
GACGAACGCUGGCGGCGUGCUUAACACAUGCAAGUCGAACGGAAAGGCCCUGCUUUCGUGGGGUGCUCGAGGGGCGAACGGGUGAGUAACACGUGAGUAACCUGCCCCUGAUUUUGGGAUAACUUCAGGAAACUGGGGCUAAUACCGUAUAGGUGCUCCUGCUGCAUGGUGGUGGUUGGAAAGUUUCGGCGGGCGGGGAUGGACUCGCGGCUUAUCAGCUUGUUGGUGGGGUAGUGGCUUACCAGGGCUUUGACGGGUAGCCGGCGUGAGAGGGUGACCGGCCACAUUGGGACUGAGGUACGGCCCAGACUCCUACGGGAGGCAGCAGUGGGGAAUAUUGCACAAUGGGGGGAGGCCUGAUGCAGCAACGCCGCGUGCGGUGUGACGGCAUUCGGGUUGUAAACCGCUUUCGCCUGUGACGAAGCGUGAGUGACGGUAAUGGGUAAAGAAGCACCGGCUAACUACGUG